rnacentral:rRNA from 1 species
CAUCUAGGCGGUCAAUCAAGUCGAAGGUGAAAACUUGUGGCUCAACCAUAAGCUUGCCUACGAAACUGAUUAACUAGAGUACUGGAGAGGUGGACGGAACUACACGAGUAGAGGUGAAAUUCGUAGAUAUGUGUAGGAAUGCCGAUGAUGAAGAUAGUUCACUGGACAAAAACUAGACGCUGAAGUGCGAAAGCUAGGGGAGCAAACA